rnacentral:rRNA from 1 species
AUUGAACGCUGGCGGCAUGCCUUACACAUGCAAGUCGAACGGUAACAGGUCUUCGGAUGCUGACGAGUGGCGAACGGGUGAGUAAUACAUCGGAACGUGCCUAGUAGUGGGGGAUAACUACUCGAAAGAGUGGCUAAUACCGCAUGAGAUCUACGGAUGAAAGCAGGGGAUCGCAAGACCUUGUGCUACUAGAGCGGCCGAUGGCAGAUUAGGUAGUUGGUGGGAUAAAAGCUUACCAAGCCGACGAUCUGUGGCUGGUCUGAGAGGACGAUCAGGCGCACGUGUACAGGGACGCGGCCCAGACUCAGACGGGAGGCAGCAGUGGGGAAUUUUGGACAAUGGGCGAAAGCCUGAUGCUGCAAUGCCGCGUGCAGGAUAAAGGCCUUCGGGUUGUAAACUGCUUUUGUACGGAACGAAAAGCUCUGGGUUAAUACCCUGGGGUCAUGACAGUACCGUAAGAAUAAGCACCGGCUAACUACGUGCCAGCCGCCGCCGUAACAC